UACGUAGGGGGCUAGCGUUGUCCGGAAUCAUUGGGCGUAAAGCGCACGUAGGCGGCUUUCUAAGUCAGGGGUGAAAUCCUGGAGCUCAACUCCAGAACUGCCUUUGAUACUGGAGAGCUUGAGUCCGGAAGAGGUGAGUGGAACUCCGAGUGUAGAGGUGAAAUUCGUAGAUAUUCGGAAGAACACCAGUGGCGAAGGCGGCUCACUGGUCCGGUACUGACGCUGAGGUGCGAAAGCGUGGGGAGCGAACAGG
rnacentral:rRNA from 1 species